rnacentral:rRNA from 1 species
UACAGGGGGGGCAAGCGUUGUUCGGAAUUACUAGGCGUAAAGGGUUCGUAGGUGGCCACUUAAGUCAGACGUGAAAUCCCUCAGCUUAACUGGGGAACUGCGUCUGAUACUGGGUGGCUUGAGUGCAGGAGAGGAAUGCGGAAUUCCAGGUGUAGCGGUGAAAUGCGUAGAUAUCUGGAGGAACACCGGUGGCGAAGGCGGCAUUCUGGACUGUAACUGACACUGAGGAACGAAAGCCAGGGGAGCAAACGGG